GCUAUUUUUCAGAUAUCUUUGUCAUGCUUUGCUAAUGAAGUGCCUUUGCUAGCCCAAAUCUAUUCUUAAAUAGUAUAUGCAAACCUCUUUGAUUACAUGUGGGGAAAAUGUGUUAGCACAACAGCGGAAUUACACCAAGAAAAAUUUGUAGUUCUCAGAGAUUCUUUUAAUUACUUUUGUAGAGAUCUAAAUAGCAACCUAAAAUAGGAACCUAAAAUAGCACCUAUGAAGAUUUUCCUCUCUUGGUUAUGUGAAUUGCUUGUUUUAUAUAUACCUCUUUCUGUUAUGUGACCCAUUCUUGCACUCAGAGUUGGAACAACAGCUACGGGUUGGGAUAAAGGAGGUGGAGGAGACCUUUUAGGUUUAUUCAAUGGGCCUUACCUAUCUGGUUUCACCUUCCAAUACAAUGAGGUGCAGGGCAUGAUGUGUGAGAGGUAUUGGCCAUCUCAGAGGUGAGCUAUUUAUGUGGUUUUAGUUGCGCUUUAUUCCUCCCUUUUUGCAGUGACGUAACUUUAGCGGGUCUGAGUUCUCUGGGUUGACCGGCCUAAAGCAAGGGUUCAUAUUCAUUGAUUCAACUGUGCCUUUGUUCAUAUGAAGGUUGAUUUAUACAUACCGAUUUGACCCUGAUUUUUUGACCUUCAUGGGAAAUUUUGCGAAGCUCAGACCUCGAGGGACGCAUGAAGUGGUCGGUUCUUUCUAUGGGAAGUAUCAGUCUUGCAAUGGUGCCAACAAAUUUCAUUGAAGUUCAUUUUUGAGAACCUUGAGUAAAUAAGGUGAUCAGACCAUCCACCAGCGUGGGAAAACAUCCAGCAUCAAGGAGCUAGCCCUGCACCCAGGUGCAACAGAUCCACCAUCAGCUGGAGGUGAGCCCAGACCUGGAGAAAAAAAUCUCAUCUUAUUUGGAUGAAGCAAUUCUAUGAAGCAAAGAAAUGUGACACUAGAAGUAAUUCAAUGAAGCAAAGAAAAUUUGACAGGGAGCAAUAUUGUUGUGGCAAUCCUUUGGAAGGCACCAAUUUCAUCGACUAGGCAGAAAUUGUCACCAACAAUAAAUUCGUCUUCUCUAAGAGUGAUCUGGCUACUUAGGAGAAUGUUGAGCCUCACCGGGAUGUAAGAUGUAGAGGUGGCUGGCAUCUACGGUGUGUUGCCGCUGACACCAUGCUUGCUCAGGAUCCUCAAUACGAGGCUCGAGAUGUGAAAUCAUAGGCAUGCCGGCCUUGAUGCAUCGGUGAUUUUUUUUUAGUAUGAGAGCUUCUCCGUUUUCAGCUCAGCGCUCGUGGCAUGGCAGCCUUGAUGCAUAGAUUGAAUUUUAUUAGCAAGAGCCUUCUAUAU